UGGUCGGUCGUCGGCUCAGUUAUGAAUGUAUUUGUUGUAUGAAUCUGAUGGGUUCAUUUUCUCAACGCGUGGCCAAUUUUUGUGGAUUAGAGUGUAUACGAGCGAGCAUAGUCCAAAGAAUGAAGAAUCCUGUUAUAGAGCAGUCGACUAGAAGUAUCAGACUAUUGAGAAGAGGGCUCGGAGUGUGUACAAGUGAGCAUAGCCCAAAGAACGAGGAAGCCAGUUAUAGAGCAAUCGACUAGAAGUAUCAAACUGUUGAGAAGAGGGCUCGAAGUGUAUACAAACGAGCAUAGCCCAAAGUACGAGGAAGCCCGUUAUAGAGCAGUCGACUAGAAGUAUCAGACUGUUGAGAAGACGGCCUCUCUCGAAAAUGAUGACCUAAUUUCUCUUA